AUCCAGUUGACGGGUCUUGAAUAGGAAGAAACGCGCGUCCUGGAU
rnacentral:hammerhead_ribozyme from 1 species